AUUGAACGCUGGCGGCAUGCUUUACACAUGCAAGUCGAACGGCAGCACGGGCUUCGGCCUGGUGGCGAGUGGCGAACGGGUGAGUAAUAUAUCGGAACGUACCCAGAAGUGGGGGAUAACGUAGAGAAAGUUACGCUAAUACCGCAUACGAUCUAUGGAUGAAAGCAGGGGACCGCAAGGCCUUGUGCUCCUGGAGCGGCCGAUAUCUGAUUAGCUAGUUGGUGAGGUAAAGGCUCACCAAGGCGACGAUCAGUAGCUGGUCUGAGAGGACGACCAGCCACACUGGAACUGAGACACGGUCCAGACUCCUACGGGAGGCAGCAGUGGGGAAUUUUGGACAAUGGGCGCAAGCCUGAUCCAGCAAUGCCGCGUGAGUGAAGAAGGCCUUCGGGUUGUAAAGCUCCUUUGUCAGGGAAGAAACGGUAGAGGCUAAUAUCCUUUGCUAAUGACGGUACCUGAAGAAUAAGCACCGGCUAACUACGU
rnacentral:rRNA from 1 species